rnacentral:rRNA from 1 species
CCUACGGGAGGCAGCAGUGGGGAAUCUUGCGCAAUGGGCGAAAGCCUGACGCAGCAACGCCGCGUGCGGGAAGAAGGCUUUCGGGCUGUAAACCGCUUUCAGCAGGAACGAAAAUGACGGUACCUGCAGAAGAAGGAGCGGCCAACUAUGUGCCAGCAGCCGCGGUGAUACAUAGGCUUCAAGCGUUGUCCGGAUUUAUUGGGCGUAAAGAGUUCGUAGGUCGGUCGAGUAAGUCGGGUGUGAAAAUUCUGGGCUCAACCCAGAGACGCCACCCGAUACUGCUUGACUUGAGUUCGAUAGGGGAGUGGGGAAUUCCUAGUGUAGCGGUGAAAUGCGCAGAUAUUAGGAGGAACACCGGUGGCGAAGGCGCCACUCUGGAUCGAUACUGACGCUGAGGAACGAAAGCAUGGGUAGCAAACAGGAUUAGAUACCCUGUAGUCCAUGCCGUAAACGGUGGGCACUAGGUGUGGGUUUCUAUUAACGAAAUCCGCCGCCGUCGACUAACGCAUUAGUCGCCCCGCCGUGGGAGUACGGUCGCAAGACUAAACUACAAAGGAAUUGACGGCGNGAGACGCGCGACGACGACGACGAGGAGAG